rnacentral:tRNA from 1 species
GGGACGGUGGUAUAACGGUUAGCAUAGCUGCCUUCCAAGCAGUUGACCCGGGUUCGACUCCCGGCCGACGCA